rnacentral:rRNA from 1 species
CCACUCUCCGCCCCUCUCAAAUCUUCUUCCAAAUCUUGCAAAUUUGAAGAAUUUGUCCGUGGAUUUCAAAGUCAAACCCUCCCUCAAGGGAUGGGAAGAACAUGUGUGUUUGUUCAUCAUGGGGACAAAGACGCCUUUUUGAAAGGCAAUAAAGAACCGGACCCUGAUGAGUUUGACAUGGUGUUUGAUAGUAGUCCUAGCUAUGCGGAGCUCUUGCAACAAGUUAGGAAAGAUUUGAAUUGGAUGGACCCUAGUGAUAUCAUUGAGUUGGAGGGAAGGCAUAAUGUUGGUUUUGGAAUGCACAUCCGUUGGAAGACAAUGCGUGUAAACUCGGAGCAACGUUGGGUUGCAUACAAGGAGACGGUGGCCGAAUCACUAGACAAGGCUCUUGAGUUAUUUGCAAAGAAGAAGGUUGAUUCAAGUUUGCAUUUGGACUUGAACCAGAACCCCUCCCCUUUGGUUGCUAGUAGCCCCCCAUCCUUGAAGCGAGAUGAAAUUGUUGAACCUCUUUUGACCCAAGAAGUGAGGCCAACAUUGAGCCCUUAUAGAAACAACCAAGAUGAAUCUUUGCAAGAGGACAAUGAUGAGUAUGCGGACGAUGACAAUGAAGUUGAUCUCCAUGACAACAAUGUGGGUGAUCUCGACAAAUAUCAUUUGCAAGAGACAAUGGACCAUUCCAUCCCUUUUUCCCGUGCAUAUGCAUCGGACUCGGAUGACGAUGGUCCCGAUGAACAAGUUGAUGCGGAGGGGUUCACGGUGAAGGAGGCCGAAGCUUUCGAGAAGGUAUUUGGUCGGGAUCAUCGGACUACAUUGUUCAAGGAUGUUAGUCUCGCGGAUGAAGCCGUGGUAGAUGGUGGCCAAUGUGUACCUCUUGGGGUUAGGCCAAGCUCUCACCGUGAUUUGGUAGACGACAAGAACCGGAUUGCUAAAGAGUGUGGCGCCUCCGUGCUGGGCGCUGCACAAACACUUAGCAAUUUUUUUGCCUGA